GUUUCUGUAGUGUAGUGGUUAUCAGGUUUGCGUCACACGCGAAAGGUCUCCUGUUCAAAACAGGGCAGAAACA